GAUUGAUGAUGAAAAUAGCCAAGUCUGAAUAUCAGAAGCUUUUUAGUCUACCUGAUGCAUGAUGUCUACUUCUGAGA
rfam:Erinaceus europaeus unplaced genomic scaffold scaffold00343, whole genome shotgun sequence